rnacentral:misc_RNA from 1 species
CGUAAAGGUGCCAGAGUGGUGUUUGGUUUGUUACGGGUGGUUGGCUCUUUGCUUGCGCAACAACUUCCACCUGGCAUACCUCUUCAGUUUUUGCGUCAAUGCUUGUAUCGCAUUGAAUGCAACGUGGGUUUCUUGUGUUGCAUACCAAAAUGAUGGUAUCGUUUGAUGAAUUGAUGUGUUAUUCGUCUUGUGUCGCACACGCGAUGUGAGACGAACUUUGAAGCGGUCUUUGUGAUCCACUCUUUUGAUGCACAUGCGUUGAUGGUGUGGCCCAUUAAGUGUCGCUUGGUCUCAUGGAUAUGGAACCUGGUUUGGGCAUGGGAUAAGAUCCUUGUUUGCCCUUCUUUAGCUUUUCUAAUACGAUUGACUAUCACGUAUGGCUCGUCUCAGCGUGUUAGUCUAUGUCGAAGAUGAAUG